GAUGAACGCUCGCGGCAGGCCUAAUACAUGCAAGUCGAACGAGAUUAAGAGGCUUGCUUCUUAUGAAAGUGGCGCACGGGUGCGUAACGCGUAUGCAACCUACCUUAAUCAGGGGGAUAGCCCGAAGAAAUUCGGAUUAAGACCGCAUAAAAACACAGGAUAGCAUUAUCCACUGUUCAAAUAUUUAUAGGAUUAAGAUGGGCAUGCGUGUCAUUAGCUAGUUGGCGGGGUAACGGCCCACCAAGGCGACGAUGACUAGGGGAUCUGAGAGGAUGACCCCCCACACUGGUACUGAGACACGGACCAGACUCCUACGGGAGGCAGCAGUAAGGAAUAUUGGUCAAUGGAGGGAACUCUGAACCAGCCAUGCCGCGUGCAGGAAGACAGCCCUCUGGGUCGUAAACUGCUUUUAUUCGGGAAUAAACCUUUCUACGUGUAGGAAGCUGAAUGUACCGAAGGAAUAAGGAUCGGCUAACUCCGUG
rnacentral:rRNA from 1 species